AACGCACAUUGCGCCCCUUGGCAUUCCGAGGGGCAUGCCUAUUCGAGCGUCAUUAUCACCCCUCAAGCCUAGCUUGGUGUUGAGGCUUGCUGUUAAGGCAGCCUCUAAAAUCAGUGGCAGUGCUGUCAGGCUCUAAGCGUAGUAAAUUCAUCGCUAUAGAGUCCUGGUGGAUACUCGUCAAGACCCCCCAUUUUUAAUGAUUGACCUCGGAUUAGGUAGGGAUACCCGCUGAACUUAA
rnacentral:misc_RNA from 1 species